CAUGUGGUCCUCUAGUCCUUUGGGUUAACAUUUUCCUUAUGUCUUUGGUUUUCUUCAUUCUCCUUUGCUCUGGACAGUAUGGAACCAGAUGUAUUUUAGAUGGUUGCUUGCAAGCUUUUAAGGCCCUAGGUACUACUCACCAAAGUAGGAAUGUAGAACAUUUUCUUUAUAAACUAUGUUAUGCCAAUUGACCUAGAUGUCCUCUGAGACUAUGGGUCCCCCACUCUCAGCCCCAGCAAUCCGGUCCCUCAAGGUAUUUGGUGUGUCUAGGAUUUUUUUUUUUUACAACUAGUGAAAAACAAAGUCACAUAGAAUUACCCUGUGACCUAGCAAUUCCACACCCAGGUAUAUACCCAAGAGAAUUGAAAACAGGGAUUCAAACGGAUAUUUGUACACGAGUGUUCACAGAAAUAUUAUUCAAAAUAGGCAAGGUAAAAACAACCCAAGUACCCAUCAAAACAUGAAUGUAUAAACAAAAUAUGAUAUAUACAUACAAUGGGAUAUUAUUCAAACAUAAAGAGAUAUGAAGUUCUGGUACACACUACACACGGAUGAACUUUGAAGACAUGAUGGCAAGCGAAGUAAGACAGACAUGAAAGGACAAGUAUCGAAUGAUUCCAUUUACAUGAAAUGUUCAGAAUAGGCAAAUGCAGAGAGAGCAAGCUUUAUUAGUGGCUGCGUUUUGUCCUAUUGUACACAGGCUCGCUAUGAGUCGGAGCCAACAACCGCAGCCAGGGGCUGGGGGAGAGGGAAAAUGGGGAGUUAUUGCUUAAUAAGUACAGAGUUUCUGUUUGUGGUGAUGAAAAUUUUUUGAAAUGGGGUGAUGGUUGAACAACACUAUGAAUGUGACGAAUGCAUUUGUACAUUAAAACCCAAAACCAAACCCAGUGCCAUCGAGUUACUCCUGACUCACAGCGACCCUAUAGGACAGAGUAGAACUGCCCCAUAGAGCUUCCAAGGAGCGCCUGGUGGAUUCAAACUGCCGACCUUUUGAUUAGCAGCCGUAGUUCUUAACCACUAUGCCACAUUAAAAAAAAAAAUUAAGAUGGUUAAAAUACAAAGUUUACGUUACAUGUAUUUUACCACAAUCUUCCUUAAAUUCAAUUGUAAAAAACAAAACCCAAAACCAAAUGAUGUCUAGUCAGUUCAGAGAAAUCAAAAUAUAAGGAACUUUGAAAGAUUACACAGCCUUUGUUAUAAUAAAAAAUAAAUUAAAAACAAAUUGGAUACCAUAUUUUUUGUUGCAUUUAAAUAGACUUUACUUUUAGAGACGUUUAUGUAUACAGAAAGGUUCUGCAUAGAGUCCCCACGCACGCCAUCUACACCCACACAGUGUUUCUCCUACUGGUAACACCUUGCAUUCCGGUGGUGGGCUGUAGGUACACUUGUUACACCUGACGAAUCAAUACUGACAAACUAUUAACUGCAGUCCAUUGUUCGCAUCAGGGUUCACUCUUUGUGUUGUACAGUCCUGUGGCUUUUCACAAAUGCAUAACAUCAUGUGUCCACCAUCACAGCAUCCUGUGGAAUGGCUGCACUGCCCCGAAAUUCAUGCCUCUUCUCUCUCCCUGAAUCCCUGAUCUUCGUACUGCCUCUACAGUUUCGACUAUUCCAGAACGUCACAGACUUGGAAUCACAGGGUAACCCAACAUUGGCCAAUUUACUGGCAUCCACUACACUAACGCUGCUGAGCGACCAUCACAGUACCCGCUGCCAGGUUUUCCAUCGCCGUGAACAGAAGAACCGCAAUGCCUGCCAUGAGUCUCAGCUGGCUGGAAGGCACCUUUUUUUUAAAUUGGAGUUGCUUGCUCCCUAGAUCUGAGUCUACGGUCUACAUCAGGGGUCCACACAACACACUACACAGCCCACACCAAACCUGCCCAACAGCUGCUUUUGUAAAUACCACGUUACUGGAACACAGCCACAACUGUUCACGGAUGUAUUGUCUACAGCUGCUUUCAAGCUACAAAGGCAGAGUUAAGUCUUCACAGAGGUGAACCUAUGGCCUGAAAAGCCUAAAAUGUUUACUCUCUAGCCCUUUAUAAAAUGUUCGCUGAGCCUGCUCUAAAUCACUGUCUGGAAUGGAUGUUUUUUCCAAAGUGGACUUUCUUAUUAGAAAGGAACACCCUACCUGUGUAUGUACCCAGAAAAUUGUCACAUCUGUUUAAAUAUGUGAAUGUGCUUACCCCAGAUACACCCAGCGAAUGACUGGACCCGAGGGAACGCAUACCAUGAAAAACUUUGUCAAAAGUGAGCCUUUCUUCCCCUCACCCUUCUAUUUCUUCUAGAAUCUGUCUGCAGGGAUCAAAACAGAAGUCAGGAGGAGGAGGGGCAAGAUGGCAGCCCAGGUAGCAGCACCCUGACAAUUCCCCAAGACAAUGACAAAGAAAACAAGUAACAACACGUGCAACCAGCGAUCUUGGAGCUCUGGACGCCAAGUGAAGGGUCGGAGAACCAGGCUGAGCACUAAACUAGGGGAGAGUUGAAGCGCUGAAGCAAGGACUGCAGAAAGGCGGAGAUUGGUGGACCGUCCACACCCUGCUCACCAGACAGAGGACUCUGACUGAGACAGGCCAGGAAGGACUGACAAGGUGUGUACUGGGAGUGGGCAGACCUGAGAGAGAGGCACACAGGAUCGGGAACCCCAGGAAAAUCCAGGCAGAGUAAAGUGGUGUGGACUGGUCUGGGGGACCUCGUGGGCAGAGGGCAGGACGAGCGUGCAGCCCCAGGGAGGAACACAGUGUGGGUGUAACAGUGCAGGAUUAUGACCCAAGAUAACUCAGCAGCCCCGGGACAGCAACCCACCAGGAGACACCUAGCCGCUCCCUUCACUGACACCUCAGUGGCCCAAUGCUACAACACUGGCCAGGGCCCUGCCCUAUGUGGCACAGUGCC